UGGUUUACUCCUCACUAAGAGGGCAACUAAUUACUUCAAUUCAUUACCAGAGCCGAUCCAAAAUCAAAUCGAAAACGAAACGCUAAUGGCUAAGCUUUAUACACCAAUGGGCGCCAUUGGUGCUGUAGUUAUUAAGCGCUUCAGGCAGAAAAAUAGUAAUUACUACAAAUUAAUGAAACAAGAUUGGAGUGGCAUUGCCCACGUCAACGGCUUCUCUAUUCAUGCUCAAAUCGAUUGUUGGUGCGUUUACAAUCCACAGGCUGAUGAAGGAGAGCAAUUGAGCUUACUUAUUCAAAAGGUAAUAAAUAAUUUAAUUUUAUGCAAUAUAUAUAAUAUAUAUGCAUGAGAUUGUUAAUUGUUUCAAUUAAUGUUAUGUUUGGCUUUGCUUUUUGUGUGUAUGCAUGUAGGUCAAUCAAGAAAGAAGAAACUAAUUAGCUGCAGCAAAGCACGGGGGCUGAUCAUUUGACAAAUGAGAAUUUUAUCAUAAG
rnacentral:lncRNA from 1 species